GAAACUGGUUUCUGUUGAACGUUUAUUAAGGAUUUCAUCAGUGUAUUCAAAUAAGUGACGGUGAGAGGGUUAGAGGGGCCUAAGGUUUGCAUGAUCACUUGUAAAUUAUCCCUCACAUAGAGGUAACGAGUAUUACACAUCAGGAUUGACCAAUGUAAGGGCAAAUUAUAACAUGGAAAACUAGAUCUGGCUUUCAGUGAUUUUCUUAUAUCUUCUCUUUUCCAUGAUUUCCUUAAAUCUUCUCUCUUACAUAAUUUCCUUAAAUCUCUUCUUUUCCAUGAUUUCCUUCAAUCUUCUCUUUUUCAUGAUUUCCUUAAAUCUUCUGUUAAUCAUGAUUUCCUUAAAUAUUCUCUUUUUCAUUAAAGAGUUACACUGUACAAUGUAGCUACAGGCAAAUGGGAAUGAGCACUCUUAGGCUUAGAUUUUGCUCUAAAAUCAAUAACUAACCACCGAUGGAAUUCAUUUCCUAAAAUUAUAGUGGAUAAAACAAAAUUGCAUAAGUCCUGUAAGGACAGCAUUUCGCCAAAUGUCCAUCCUUCCUCGGUACAUACUUUUAUACCAUAUACUAAAAUGUAGAUCAUUUCACGGCCUAUCCGCCGAUAUAUAUAUCAUGUAAAAAUGUACUCUCUGCACAAACAUAUAUGUAUAUUUUCUGCGAAGAAACACAACACAGUUGGGGCUCCAUUCCUUUUUGUAUGUACGUGCGUGACGGACACUACGUUUCUGUCCGCACAGCUGCCUCAUAUACAGCCAUCUCUGUUCAAUAAAGUUACAUAGUUAGAGCUUUCUCCUUGUCUGAUUCAAGCAUACCCAUGUCGACGUCGUUGGGCCCCUUCCUCCAUCCGACAGUGCCAGAUACCUCCUGACAGUGAUCGACCAGUCCACCAGGUGGCCAGAAGCCACCAGAGACGCCUGCACCAAAGCCCUCCUAUCCAGCUGGAUCAGCCGCUUCAGAGUGCCAGAUGACAUCACUACAGACCAGGGAACUGCAUUCACCUCAGAACUCUGGACCUCCCUGGCAUGCCUGAUGGGGACCUAGCACCAUACGACCACGGCCUACAACCCGCAGCCAACGGCAUGGUGGAAAGGACCCACUACUCGCUCAAGGCCUCCCUGGUGGCAUGCUGCAUAGGCCCCAACUGAAAGGCAUAGCUACCGUGGGUUCUCCUUGGCCUCUGCACCGCCCCAAGAGCAAGCGACCCGUCACCAUCAGAGAAGGUUUACGGUGAGACCCUGACAGGCCAAGUGAAUUCUUCCCCUCUGAAGGCGUUCCUCGUCUCGAUCGGCGGCAGUGAGGACUGAAGCUCGCUGUCGUUCCCAACAAAGACAACCCCACAGAAGGCCCUCGCAGUACACCGCCUCAGAACACAGCCUUGCCCUACGAAAGCAGUCAAACCCUCCAGGGCCACCAUCAUGGGCAGCAUCCUGCUUCCCGACUCACUGGAUGACGAUGACCUGGAAGAUGUUCCCUGACGAAUGGAAUCUCGAACCCGUGGACUCCUCCAGCCCCCCACAAGAUUCCGCUGACCAUCAGCCAACGAUUAUUAAUUAAUCAUUGUCUUUGGGGGCAAUGGAAUCAAAGGGCACCUGGCUGAGGAAGGAAUUAACUGGUUCCAUAUUGAAUUGGUCACCUGGUCACCACAUGGCGAUUUGACCACAAGGGUCAGAGGUCACAGAAGGACAGAUAACACUGCUAUCUGGCCAGAUGUCGGUGAACUUUCUCCGAACUGAUAAAAGGACACAUACACGCUACAGACGGCCUUAUACAAGCUCAUACUGCCAGGGAGAUUGCACGCUUAGUUCCUGAGCAAAACCCCCAAACCAUGCUUCCUUCUUGGCACGGCUACUGCCAGCCUAUGUUAACUUGUAUAGUGCAAUGAUAAUCGCUUGUCAUCAGUGCCUAUGAGGAAGACAACUCUACUCUCCGAUCCAGAUGUGUUUCCUACAUACCACAUGGUCAGAUGCCCGACCACCAGUUAGUCUAGUUCAAGACCUAUUAAUUAACUGAUCACUAUUAAACUCAAUUGGGUAUCAUUCACUCUAAACUGAUACAAGCUUGUAAUGUGUAAAUAUAAUCAAGUAAGCUAACCUAAGAGUUUACCCAUUCUGAAGCAGGCCUUCAGUCUAAGUUUGUGGUAUGAAUGUGCUUCCUUAAAUAGGCCAUUCACAGAUCAGGUAUGCUAUCCCCCCAACUUGUGCAUCCCCUAGGUACAUUCAUAUCACUAAAUAUAUUGAAUUUCUGUACAAACAGGUCAGAAGGCAAAAGUGAGUGAGACCAAAUUUCUUGGCUUUAUAAUGGUUUACUGAAGAAAAGGCUAAAACAAGACUAAAAGUCAGGCCACAGUCUCUAGGCUGAAAAGAGAACAAAAAUAGUCAAACAAAAACUUUGACUCAAAACUGAAAUCAGUCAGAAUAUUUAAUCUCUCUAUUAGUAAAGCAUAGAGGACAUUGGGGAUCAUGUAUGAAGGCAGAUCAGAAAACCUGUAAAUUCUUUGUUAUAUCACGAUUAAGCGCCAUACUCCAUUGACUACACCAUGUAUUACUAUGCCCGGAAUCUUUGGUAAGACUGGCAUCUUUAUUUUUCCUUAGAGGAAAAUGACUGAAAUGAAAGUUGCAUUACCUUCACUCUUUACUAUCUAUUUUUAAAUCAAAAAAGCAUUUUAUCAGUAAAUACUUAAAUGAAUGAAGCUCUCCAUCUUAUUCUCUUUUAGGAUUUAAAUUCAUUAAUUGCUUUCUUGGUUUUGGGAAUAUGUAAUUUGUGCUGCUCUUAUGAGCUGCUUGUCAUUAAAAAAAUGAGUGCACCAUUUUCUCUCAACUUGAUUCUGUCGCGUUCCAAACACGAAAUAAGCAAGAAGAAAGCAGGCACAGAGACUAUGGUUCCCUCUCUGAUUUAUGUAUUUAGUAUGUGUUUUUGGGUUGACAAUUGAACAGAAUCGUGGGAAUUUGUUCUCCAUUUCAUAUUGAAACAUGUCUUGUAUUGGGCUUGCCACAGUAAUGCUAAAUUAAGUAAAACAUACAUAGAGAAAAAGCCUAAGUGGAAGCCCAGAUGACAUCCCUGAGCGAAAAAUGCACCUUUGCCUUUCCAAAAUCCACCAGGGUAAGACGUGUUUUGGUUGUGCUCCCGUUUCGCUGGCAGAUCAUUACCCAUGGACAUUCACAUUGUAAGUUAUGUCAGUAUACCGAAUUCAUCAAGUUAUGCUUGGCAGAGGCCGUAAGUCUGUUAAAGUGUAUUUCCUGCUCAUUCUCUGAUUCAUGUCAUUCUCUUUGGUAUUAAACGUGCAUGGUGAAAUUAUAGUUUAGGCCAGUGUUCCCUUAAGGACCAAGAGGUUAGUUGUUUCGAAGUGGGAUAGUUUGUAUAGUAAAUGGGACAUAUUGAUAUGAUUGUUAUGUAAGUGCUGAUCAUGAAAUCGUUUUUGGUUUAUUUUUGUAAUAAAAUUGUAAAAUCUUGA